UACGAAGGGGGCUAGCGUUGCUCGGAAUGACUGGGCGUAAAGGGCGCGUAGGCGGCCACCGCAAGUCGACUGUGAAAUCUCCGGGCUUAACCCGGAAAGGUCAGCCGAUACUGCGGGGCUAGAGUGCAGAAGGGGCAACUGGAAUUCUCGGUGUAGCGGUGAAAUGCGUAGAUAUCGAGAGGAACACCUGCGGCGAAGGCGGGUUGCUGGGCUGACACUGACGCUGAUGCGCGAAAGCUAGGGGAGCGAACGGG
rnacentral:rRNA from 1 species